ACUCCUACGGGAGGCAGCAGUGGGGAAUAUUGCACAAUGGGGGAAACCCUGAUGCAGCCAUGCCGCGUGUGUGAAGAAGGCCUUCGGUUGUAAAGCACUUUCAGUAGGGAGGAAGGUAGUGUAGUUAACACCUGCAUUAUUUGACGUUACCUACAGAAGAAGCACCGGCUAACUCCGUGCCAGCAGCCGCGGUAAUACGGAGGGUGCGAGCGUUAAUCGGAAUUACUGGGCGUAAAGCGCAUGCAGGCGGCCUGUUAAGUCAGAUGUGAAAGCCCGGGGUCUUAACCUCGGAAUUGCAUUUGAAACUGGCAGGCUAGAGUCUUGUAGAGGGGUUAGAAUUUCAGGUGUAGCGGUGAAAUGCGUAGAGAUCUGAAGGAAUACCAGUGGCGAAGGCGGCCCCUGGACAAAGACUGACGCUCAGAUGCGAAAGCGUGGGAGCAAACAGGAUUAGAUACCCCUGGUAGACUGUCA
rnacentral:rRNA from 1 species